rnacentral:tRNA from 1 species
GGGAAUUUAGCUCAGUGGUAGAGCGUUUGCCUAGCAAGCACAAGGCCCUGGGUUCGGUCCCAGCUCU